AAGCGCUUGCAACCAGACUUGCGCGGGGUUGAUCAUCCGGGGUUCUCCCCGGUGCACUCGGCCUCGCUCAGGCCAGCAUCGGUUUCGGUGGUUGGAUAAAGGCCUUGGGAAUGUGACUCCUCUCGGGGAGUGUUAUAGCCCUCGGUGCAAUGCAGCCUACCGGGACCGAGGACCGCGCUUCGGCUAGGAUGCUGGCGUAAUGGUUGUAAGCGA
rnacentral:rRNA from 1 species